rnacentral:rRNA from 1 species
AAGCGGAGGAAAAGAAACUAACAAGGAUUCCCCUAGUAGCGGCGAGCGAAGCGGGAAGAGCUCAAAUUUAUAAUCUGGCACCUUCGGUGUCCGAGUUGUAAUCUCUAGAAAUGUUUUCCGCGUUGGACCGCACACAAGUCUGUUGGAAUACAGCGGCAUAGUGGUGAGACCCCCGUAUAUGGUGCGGACGCCCAGCGCUUUGUGAUACAUUUUCGAAGAGUCGAGUUGUUUGGGAAUGCAGCUCAAAUUGGGUGGUAAAUUCCAUCUAAAGCUAAAUAUUGGCGAGAGACCGAUAGCGAACAAGUACCGUGAGGGAAAGAUGAAAAGCACUUUGGAAAGAGAGUUAACAGUACGUGAAAUUGUUGGAAGGGAAACGCUUGAAGUCAGACUUGCUUGCCGAGCAAUCGGUUUGCAGGCCAGCAUCAGUUUUUCGGGGUGGAUAAUGGUAGAGAGAAGGUAGCAGUUUCGGCUGUGUUAUAGCUCUUUACUGGAUACACCCUGGGGGACUGAGGAACGCAGUGUGCCUUUGGCGGGGGUUUCGACCUCUUCACACUUAGGAUGCUGGUGGAAUGGCUUUAAACGACCCGUCUUG